GCGUGGAUAGCUCAGUUGGGAGAGCGUCAGACUGAAGAUCAGAAGGUCGCGUGUUCGAUCAAUGCUCACCGCA
rnacentral:tRNA from 1 species